GAUGAACGCUGGCGGCGUGCUUAACACAUGCAAGUCGAACGGUGAAGCAGGAGCUUGCUCUUGUGGAUCAGUGGCGAACGGGUGAGUAACACGUGAGCAACCUGCCCCUGACUCUGGGAUAAGCGCUGGAAACGGCGUCUAAUACUGGAUAUGUGAUGUGACCGCAUGGUCUGCAUCUGGAAAGAAUUUCGGUUGGGGAUGGGCUCGCGGCCUAUCAGCUUGUUGGUGAGGUAAUGGCUCACCAAGGCGUCGACGGGUAGCCGGCCUGAGAGGGUGACCGGCCACACUGGGACUGGGACACGGCCCAGACUCCUACGGGGGGCAGCAGUGGGGAAUAUUGCACAAUGGGCGGAAGCCUGAUGCAGCAACGCCGCGUGAGGGAUGACGGCCUUCGGGUUGUAAACCUCUUUUAGCAGGGAAGAAGCGAAAGUGACGGUACCUGCAGAAAAGCACCGGCUAACUACGUGCCAGCCGCCGCCGUAA
rnacentral:rRNA from 1 species